CUUUCGGGAGGCGCAGCUUUUGCUUCAGUCUGUCCGUUUGCCUACCUAAGACUGAGCAAGUGCUGUGUUCCCAAGGCAAAAAGUGGGACUAAACCUGAAUUUCAGGGGUUCUUUCGCUUCUCCAAAUGAAGUAAUCUAGUACAGGAAAGCAGAGCUUCCGGAGCCCCCUCAGCAGAGUCCUCACAGCAGGGACCAGGUCAGAGUAAGUGAGGCGGAACAGAGGCCAAGCUGUUUUCCACAGAAAGGUUGCCAAGCUGCUUCUGACCAGUUCCCUCAACUAGAAAAGCUGCCAGAAAGUGUAUUUUGUUUUUGUUUGUUUGUUUUGUUUUGUUUUAAAAAUAUGCUUCAAGUCAUCGGAGAGCUUCUAGAGCAACGGAAACGCAAAGGGCCCGGACAGGAAGCCAAGAGGUUCUACUGGCACUCCCCCUUUCCCUGGAGCAAGCAAGCAAUGGCUUGGAGGCUGAGAAUCUGAGGUGCCAAAAGACAAAAGAAGAAGGAGGAGCAGGAGGAAGAGAAGGAGGAGGAGGAGGAGAAGGAGAAGGAGAAGAAGGAGAAGAAGGAGAAGGAGAAGAGGAGGAGGAGAAGGAGGUUAAAGCAUCCAGGUGUGCAUUUUCAGAGACAAUGAGUGAUUUAUUAGAGAGAGAUGAGAAAUUUUGUUAAGCUGGGAGCUGGUGUCCUCCUCAAGCAGGUCUUCAGGAGAAGCAAGAGAUGUCCCUGGCCCUGAACUGAAGCUCACUGACUUUCUGGAUUCAGACUGGAGACAAUCACACACUGGGUUGCCUGCUGACCCGAGCAAGGGCAUCACUGAUGACAUCGAGGUCAUACCGCAACUCAUUCACAGCGCUGGUUAUGCUCUUGGUGUCUCUCAGAACCUGAACACUCUGAGUAUACGGAUUGUACUUCACUCCAAAUGGGCGCUUCAUGGUUUUGCUAAAUUCUCUAUUUAAGACAACAAGGAAGGGAGUGUUAAUUUCUAUGAGUGUAAGUGAUAAAACCCUAACAAAAGACAGAAGACCUGGUCACACAGAGACACACACACACAGACACACACACACACACACACACACACACACACACACACCUGCUUUCUCUGUCCUGACAUCAGUGACCUCAACACCAUCUACUGUGGCCUUGGAGUGAAAGCUCAAUCCGUCCUUCUUCCUCUCCCUCUUCCCCCUAUCCAUUCUCCCUUACUGAGCACUAAUCCCAUGUCUUAUGUCAUGGAAGUGAUCUACAACCCCUCUGUUGACCUCUUGACUUCACUAAGGGCAUUACUUUCAGUAGCUUUAUCUGUCAGUAUGUCAGAAGAUAAUGGCAAUACUGAGCCACAAAGUAAGACACUCUUCAGCUAUGCUUUACAUAAUAAAAAGAGGGGACAGGAUGGGGGGGGAGAGAGAGAGAGAGAGAGAGAGAGAGAGAGAGAGAGACCUAGCUUCCCAUACUUGUGUGAUUUUUUUUUCAGCUUAGAAGGUUUCUAGCUUCCUCUCAAGUGACUUUAAUCCUUUAAUCCCCCCACCCUUUCCUCAUGGUUUAAAAUAUGUUUCCUUUAUCAACCCAACAUUUGAACCUCUUACUUGGUAUCCUACAGAACAAUCAUGCCCAAAACCCCAAAGAAUAACUGCAUAGCUUGGAACAAGUGUACAUGCUUGGGUACUAGAAUCCAGGCUCCCAUCCAUCUGGUCUCCUCAUCAGUGGGGACCACUGCAGCUUUGCCUAAGGAUGCCAUCUGUGCUGGAGAAAGCACAGCUGCUAUUGUUAUUUGAUUUUGUGCAUAGCAAGCUCCUGGAAGAUAAGCAUUAUCUUCAACCCUGCAAUCCCCUGUCCUCACAUUCCUGACUGCCUUCAUUACAUGCUCUUUUCUGGAUCCUGCUUCCAUAGUCACUUCUUCCCUGCUACCUCUAUCUUAGUCCAGAUUUUACUUUCACCUGGAGUUCAAAAGUAUCUGAAGUAGCUGUGUUCCAGCUCUCCCCACGUGACAGCAUGCUUACCUGAUGCCGAGGCAGGAGAUCUGACUGCACUGAAAUAUCCCCAUGCAUUUCUAUCACUCUUUCUUUCUCCAUGCCAUUUCAGCCUAAAACUUGAUACGUCUCAGUUCUAGCUAGUCUUCUGUCUGUCUCACUUGCUUCCAAGAUUUCUGAGAUUCUCCAACUGGAGAGGAGACCAAUGGAGGCAAAACAGUGUUUCCUCUCUGUCUCCAUUCUCAUCACUUCCCUAUUACUCAGUAUUGUGUCUGUAGUUACUUUUCCAUGCUGAACUAUAAAUUCUGCUGGGAAGGAAUGGGGAGGAGCCAGUCCCUCAAUGUAUACCAUUCCCAUAUGCAACUACUUAACAUAUGAUAUUCAACCUAUUCUAAACAACUGAUAUGUCUUAGGUAGAAAGCUCCUGGUGGGCAUCCAAUUACCUACUUGCUUAUACCUGUGAUUAUUGUAUCUUUGGAUAUUAUUUUUGCAGCAAAUGGAAGCUUGAGGGAGAUAGAUUUUACCUCAUCUUCUCCUUUGCAUCUUCAAAGCUUUCAGACACAAAGUAGACAUCCUGGAAAGUUGUGAUGAGACACUCCUGCUUGCAGGCAACCUUGGGAUCAAAGGGCUUGACUUUGGCAUGUCCAGAAAGCGCAUGCUGGGGGACAAAGCAUGGUGAUCAAAUACUGCCUCUAUCUUCACAGAAUUCAUGACUGCAGCUACUGACACACCUCUGAUCUGAGUUAUGCAAGGGACUGACACACUACAUUGCUGCUUCAUCCAGUCUAGCCCAAAAGAGGCUUGCUGUCCCCCACAAAUGACUCAAAACCAUCUCCAGGGUUUUAUUUUAACUUUCUUCACCACAUAGGAGGAACCCAAGUAUCUUUUCGUUUUAUUUUUUCAUUUAUUUACGUAUGCAUUAUGACACCUACUGUCUACCUCCACUAGUCACUUUCACACUUCUACCCACCACCACAGAGCAGCCACCUUUAGCACUGGACAGUACCUUGGACAGCGUUUGCCGCGCGACUCACUGCACAGAGCUCUCUCUCAGGCAACUAGGUUUCACUUCCCUACUUGGUUCAGAAUUUACUGCCUUGCAUCCCAGAAAUUUGUUUAAAGCUUUAAAACACUUUCUACUUAAAAGACACAUUUUUUUUUUAGAAAUUUGCCACAGUAAAGGCUUGUCAGAUGCAAGCUCUGCCUCCAGUCAUGUUGAAUGUGUUGGUGGACACAGAUAUGUGCAAAGACCGAUGUCUCUUACUUUGAGCUCACUGAUGGAAGAAAGCAAGCCAGCGCCAAAGACUCUCAGCUGUCCAUCUUGUUUGCACAGGCCAAACUCCACAGUGAAAAAGUAGCACUGCAAAAGGAUGCCAACGUCACGUUCACAUCCUGAACAUCUCACGCUAAAGAAAUUCCAGUUCUUAGUCACCGACCCAAAGUACACCCAGAAUCAAGCCCAGGACUUCCAGCCUAGGCCCCAAGUCUUUCCACAAUCUGUCCCUGUUGUGCACCAGGACUUUCUAAACUUGGGGUAAAGACUCUAAUACAGGGUUGAAAAUUACUGAGGAGUUCAAAGAUCUCUGUGUGUGUAUGUGUUACCCCUAGUUAUACUGACCAUAUUAAAGUUAAAACCAAGAAACAGUUAA